GACAGAGGGGGCAAGCGUUGCUCGGAAUCACUGGGCGUAAAGGGCGCGUAGGCGGGAUGGCAAGUCAGUCGUGAAAUCUCUCGGCUCAACCGAGAAACGUCGGCUGAUACUGCCGUUCUUGAGGGAUGCAGAGGAGACUGGAAUUCCCGGUGUAGCGGUGAAAUGCGCAGAUAUCGGGAGGAACACCAGUGGCGAAGGCGGCACUCUGGGCCGGUACUGACGCUGAGGAGCGAAAGCGCGGGGAGCGAACAGG
rnacentral:rRNA from 1 species